CGCAGCCGCGGUAAUUCCAGCUCCAAUAGCGUAUAUUAAAGUUGUUGCAGUUAAAAGCUCGUAGUUGAAUUUCGGGAUCAAUUAAUUGGUCGUGCCUAUGGUACGUACUGAUUUUAUUGGUUUCUCCCUUCUGACGAACCAUGAUGUCAUUAAUUUGGUGUCGUGGAGAAUCAGGACUGUUACUUUGAAAAAAUUAGAGUGUUUAAAGCAGGCUAACGCUUGAAUACAUUAGCAUGGAAUAAUGAAAUAGGACGUUUGAUCCUAUUUUGUUGGUUUCUAGGAUCGACGUAAUGAUUAAUAGGGAUAGUUGGGGGCAUUAGUAUUCAAUUGUCAGAGGUGAAAUUCUUGGAUUUAUUGAAGACUAACUACUGCGAAAGCAUUUGCCAAGGAUGUUUUCAUUAAUCAAGAACGAAAGUUAGGGGAUCGAAGACGAUCAGAUACCGUCGUAGUCUUAACCAUAAACUAUGCCGACUAGGGAUCGGAUGAUGUUAAUUUUUUAAUGACUCAUUCGGCGCCUUAA
rnacentral:misc_RNA from 1 species